GGGAGACACUGCCAACUGCCGCCAUGACAAGCAGCAUGUGAAGAUGCUGGAAAAAUGUGUAUAGUUCUGUCUUAUGAAGCUUAAAAGACUGGUAAAAGUGACCUGGAAGUCAUGAGAGAGUCCACCGGAGGUGGAGAAUGGACACUCAUGAUUGGGAGACACGUGAAGAAGUUUUGUUAUGUGUGUACAUGAUACUCUACGUUUUCAUCCACAUGCAUAUUCACAGGGUUUUACUAGACAGCUCAAGGAACAACAUCCCCAAACUACAGGAUCCUUCUCAUUCUUCUGAAUUCACUCAGCUAAAAUAUUAAGCAGAUUCUUUAAACAUCACAUAACAGAAUCAGAUUUUCUUCUUGGUGAAGCUAUGAGAAUUUUAAACCAUGGGCAGUUCUGAGUAAGCUCCACGGUGAUCACGAUAUGGGGUUCAAGAUGAGAACUUUCAUCUGUUUUUCCUCGAGGCCUAGUGCUUUCUGCAAUGCUGCUAUGGUGGUGAUGGACUCAGCUCUGUGGAACGACAAGCCCCAAAUAAA